CUUAUUUUUGCUUUUCUCUUUCUUUUAUUGUUUGCAUUCUUUAUUGGUCAGUAAUUUGUUGAUAAAGUCAUAAACAUAUUUACCAUCUUCUAUGGUUCUCCUUGAUGAACCAAUGUUUGAUCUUUUUGCCGUUUUUGUGUAUAUAUCAUGGAGUCAUUAUGAAAGCUCACAUACCAUUCAAGAUAUGCCAAAAUCUAUUUUUAUCUUUAUUCUUGUAGAUAUUCGCUGUAAAAUGUACCACUGAUAUUUUUACUCCCUUUGCAUAAGACGUCUGGGAUUUGAAUUGAGUUGAUUGUUGAAUUGAAAGCAAGUAGUCUAGAACUUAUUCCUAAACUUGGAAUCUGUUGCUUGAAUCAAUCCUGGGAGGUAGAGACACAAGCUAGAAUCUCUCAAUUCUUUCCCAUCCUCCAAAGCUUGUACUCCCAGAGAAGUCAUUUAGGUUAUCUGAGAGUGAUUGUGGAGAACUCGAUUCAUAAUAUUUAUAUAGCACCCUUUGCCAUUAAUGUGACAUCUUGUGUGCUACUAAUUCACCAUGCUUAACUAGC